GUGGCAGAAGGCUUGCAGUGUUUCAUAGGUGAACUCUAGAGCAAAAAAAAAGAGGAAUUAUCUUUUCAUCUUGUAUCUAUCAAUUUUGGGGAUUCAUUGACAAGAUGGGGAAAAGACGGAUCAUAUCCUUUUUCCUGAUUCUAAUAGUUACUAUGGUUGCAACUACAACUGUUGCUCCUACAACAACAACUCCUGCCCCGACAACAACAACUGCUGCACCAACAACAACAACUACAGCAGCAACUACAACAACUGCUGCUCCAAAAACAACUGAAGCAGCAACUACA